GCCAGACUCCUACGGGAGGCAGCAGUGGGGAAUAUUGCACAAUGGGGGAAACCCUGAUGCAGCGACGCCGCGUGAGUGAAGAAGUAUUUCGGUAUGUAAAGCUCUAUCAGCAGGGAAGAAAAUGACGGUACCUGAUUAAGAAGCCCCGGCUAACUACGUGCCAGCAGCCGCGGUAAUACGUAGGGGGCAAGCGUUAUCCGGAUUUACUGGGUGUAAAGGGAGCGUAGACGGUGAUGCAAGUCAGAAGUGAAAGCCCGGGGCUCAACCCCGGGACUGCUUUUGAAACUGUGUAACUGGAGUGCAGGAGAGGUAAGCGGAAUUCCUGGUGUAGCGGUGAAAUGCGUAGAUAUCAGGAGGAACACCAGUGGCGAAGGCGGCUUACUGGACUGUAACUGACGUUGAGGCUCGAAAGCGUGGGGAGCAAACAGGAUUAGAUACCCGAGUA
rnacentral:rRNA from 1 species